rnacentral:rRNA from 1 species
UACGUAGGGGGCUAGCGUUGUCCGGAUUCAUUGGGCGUAAAGGGUGCGUAGGCGGCGCGGUAAGUCGGGUGUGAAAUCUUGGAGCUUAACUCCGAAACUGCAUUCGAUACUGCCGUGCUUGAGGACUGGAGAGGAGACUGGAAUUUACGGUGUAGCGGUGAAAUGCGUAGAUAUCGUAAGGAAGACCAGUGGCGAAGGCGGGUCUCUGGACAGUUCCUGACGCUGAGGCACGAAGGUCAGGGGAGCAAACGGG